rnacentral:rRNA from 1 species
GUGCCAGCCGCCGCGGUAAUACCGGCAGCCCGAGUGAUGGCCGAUAUUAUUGGGCCUAAAGCGUCCGUAGCUGGCCGCGCAAGUCCGUCGGGAAAUCCAUCAGCCCAACUGAUGGGCGUCCGGCGGAAACUGCACGGCUUGGGACCGGAAGGCUCGAGAGGUACGUCCGGGGUAGGAGUGAAAUCCCGUAAUCCCGAACGGACCACCGAUGGCGAAAGCAUCUCGAGAAAACGGAUCCGACAGUGAGGGACGAAAGCUAAGAUCGCGAACCGGAUUAGAAAACCGUGUAGUCC